rnacentral:snRNA from 1 species
GAAAAUAAUUGGCGGUACAUAUUCUAAAAUUGGAACGAUACAGAGAUUAGCAUGGCCCCUGCGCAAGGAUGACACGCAAAUUCGUGAAGCGUUCCUCCUUUUA